rnacentral:lncRNA from 1 species
GGGUGGUCCUGAGGAAAAGGUUAUUAAUUAGUCUUACUAAAAAAAAAAAAAAAAGUUAGAUUAAACUAGAAACUUUUUAUUUCUGGAUUAGCAGGAUUUCGUGAAACUAUUAGCUAAUUUACACCUCGCUGAAUUUAUAGCAGUUGCUUAUCAUGAAAGUGGCAGAUUAGAUAGUUGAGAUCUUUUGUGGAAUUUUCUUUGAUUAGCCACUAAUUUUUUAAUUGGAAUCACCAAUAAAUUGAAAUGUGAUCUAACAGAAUCCUUCACUAGCUAACUUGGCCGUAUUGUUUAGACAAACAUCUUCUGUAGUUAAGACUUACCCUGAACACUUGAAUGCUUCAUCCUGCCUACAACCUCUUGGGUGCUGGGAUUCUAGGUUUUUUGUUUUGUUUUUCAAGACAGGGUUUUUCCUGUGGCCUAGAACUCAAAUCCAUCUGCCUCUGCCUCCCAUGUGCUGGGGUUAAAGGCGUGUGCCACCACUGCCCAGCCUAAAAUGUAUUUUUAAAAUUGUUUUUAUAGGAAUGGUAUGUGUUGAGCCACACACAUGCGCACGUGGAGAUCAGAGGAUAACAGUGAGUCCAUUUUUGUCUCCCAUGUGGGUCCUGUAACUUACAUCAUAAGGCUAGGCAGAAAGUGCCUUUACUCACUGAGCCAUCUACCAUGCAUUUACAUUUUUUUUCACUUGUAUGUAGGCUAGCAGAAUUUUUUUAUCAUUUUGUUUAGAGGUUAAUCUGGAUUUUUUUUUUCCUGGUAACUUUUACUCAUAUCAUGGAAGUUCAAGGUCCACCAAAAACAAAACAAAACCCGCUCUAGGUUUCAGUCUCCCACGACCAUUUUGUUUUGCAUUCAUUGGUGAGCUUUCCUUUGUGGCUGAAACUUGCUAUGUGCUAUACUGACCUCAAACUCAAAAUCCUUACCCCAGCUUCCCUGAUGCCUGGAUUACAGGUGCCAGACACCACAACCUGCUGAAGAUGAAAGUUUUGUUGUGAACAGAUUCUCUCACUGCUGUGAGGAUAAAAGGAGGGACUUGUGAAACCCCGAACUUCCUCUUUUUGAUUCUUUUUGAGACAGGGUUUUGUGUAUCCCAUCUGGCCUUGACCUCAGUAAGUUGGCCAAAGAUGACCUUGAACAUCUCUCCUCCUCCUGCAUCGACCACAUAGUAGAGAGGUUACAGGAAGGGAGACAGCACCAGAGCUGGUUUAUAUGGUGCUGGAGAUUGAACCCAAGGCUUCCUAAACACUAGACAAGUACCCACCUAGUAAGAAAUAUCCCAGUCCAUAAAAUCCUAAACUUUAAACCAAUACCAGCCAAUUUCUAGUCCUAUGACAUUGGGCAUGGCUGUUUCUGGGGUUUCUACAGCCUUACCUAUUGAAAUAGAAGAGUAUCACAUAGAUAAUGUUAUGAACAUUGUACAACAAUGCCUUUCAUUAAACAACUAUCUUUUUUUGUUUUGUUUUUUUGAGACAGGGUUUUUCCUCUGUGUAGCCUUGGCUGCCCUGGAACUCACUCUGUAGACCAGGCUAGCCUCGAACUCAAAAUUCUGCCUGCCUCUGCCUCCCAAGUGCUGGGAUUAAAGGCAUGUGCACCACCACUGCCAGGCAAGUUUGCCUAGAGCGUGAAGCUCUCUUCCUGAGUCUCUAGUGUGCUAUCACGCCCAGCUAUAUUUUGAAUAUAUUGGAGCUCUUUGCCUUAAAUGUCACAUAAGCCAUUGGCAGCCACUUGACAUUAGGAAAGGGUUACUUUGCAUGGAUACUAAGUUGAGAGGAACCUAAGAUGAGGUGUAUGGGUUUCCCAUUUCCUUAAUAAAGUAAACAGCUCUCUAACAUGAGACAGAUGAAUGGUACUUCAGUCUAGUGGUAACUUUGGUCAGAACCCAAUAGAGUAAGCAUAUCAAACCAUGGAGGUCAGUGGAAAUUUUGAGGCCCACAAAUCUUUGAUUCAAAUCUUUUUUAAAAAGGUCAGCACCUUUGAGAUGGUGUUCAGGAUUCUCUGGAAUCUGGUUUGCUGUAUCCCAAGUACUAGGAUUACAUACCACCACACCCAGUUUAUAUUCAAGAGAUAUCACCACACCCAGUUUGAACUCAAGACAAAGAAAAUGUAUGUUAUAAGGCAUGGUGGCUCAUACCUUUAAUCUCCACACUUAAGCCUGUUCUACAGAGAGAAUUCCAGGGCAGCCAAGGCUACAGAGAAACCCUGUCUGAAAAAAAACUUUUUCAACCCAGACUUGCCUUAAAAUUCCCCAACCUCCAACCUCAUUCUCCAUGUGAUUGGCCUCCUGAGCAAACCAAUAGAUACUUUUUAGCUUAUUGGAUACUUUCCAUACGU